rnacentral:rRNA from 1 species
AGCAGCCGCGGUAAUUCCAGCUCCAAUAGCGUAUAUUAAAGUUGUUGACAGUUAAAAAGCUCGUAGUUGAAUUUCGGGGUUAGUAGAUUGGUCAUGCCUUUGGUAUGUACUGGUCUUACUGAUUCCUCCUUCCUGAUGAACCGUAAUGCCAUUAAUUUGGUGUUGCGGGGAGACUGGACUGUUAACUUUGAAAAAAUUAGAGUGUUUAAGGCAAGCUAACGCUUGAAUACAUUAGCAUGGAAUAAUGAAAUAGGACGUUCGAUCUUAUUUUGUUGGUUUCUAGGAUUGACGUAAUGAUUAAUAGGGAUAGUUGGGGGCAUUAGUAUUCAAUUGUCAGAGGUGAAAUUCUUGGAUUUAUUGAAGACUAACUACUGCGAAAGCAUUUGCCAAGGAUGUUUUCAUUAAUCAAGAACGAAAGUUAAGGGGAUCGAAGACGAUCAGAUACCGUCG